GUAUCCUGGCUCAGGAUGAACGCUAGCUACAGGCUUAACACAUGCAAGUCGGGGGGCAGCAUGGUCUUAGCUUGCUAAGGCCGAUGGCGACCGGCGCACGGGUGAGUAACGCGUAUCCAACCUGCCUUACACUCUUGGACAGCCUUCUGAAGGGGAGAUUAAUACAAGAUGUUAUCAUGAGUAAGCAUUUUCACAUGAUUAAAGGUUUACCGGUGUAAGAUGGGGAUGCGUUCCAUUAG
rnacentral:rRNA from 1 species